GCCGGAGUGAUGGAAUGGCAGACGUGCUUGACUCAAAAUCAAGUGUCCUCGUGACGUGUCGGUUCGAGUCCGACCUCCGGCA
rnacentral:tRNA from 1 species